rnacentral:rRNA from 1 species
CUUUACUGUAACUUGAAAUUGAAAUUGGACUUUAUUCGCGCAGUAUAGGUGGGAGGUGUUGAUUAUAAUCUUGUGGGAUUAUUGGAGCCAUCAGUGAGAUACCACUCUUGUAAUGUUAGAUUUCUAACUUUGAAUCAUGAUCUGGUCAAAGAACAGUUUCAGGCGGGCAGUUUGACUGGGGCGGUCGCCUCCUAAACGGUAACGGAGGCGUACAAAGGUUUCCUCUGAACGGGUAGAAAUCGUAUCUAGAGUGUAAAGGCAUAAGGAAGCUUGACUGUGAGACCUACAAGUCGAGCAGGGACGAAAGUCGGUCUUAGUGAUCUGACGGUACUGAGUGGAAAGGCCGUCACUCAACGGAUAAAAGUUA